CGCUGGGGCUGAGGGAGCGGGGCGCACGCGCAGGGGCGUCACGGGGUACGUCCGAAGCGUGGCCAGUUGGAGAAACCGAGCCGUGCUCUCAGUUUUGAGAGUGGUCGGAGCCGAGGAGGGAGCGUGGUGUCUGGGGCGCUGCGGACAGAGAGCGUAGCGUGCCGCUCCGGCGUGGGGGUGGUGACGGCUGCGGGACCAAGGGAGGAGCGAGCGCCUCGCCCAGUUCUCGGGGUGAGGCCGCAGUGGGGGUCGCCGCCGCGGAGUUUUGGAGCUGUUGGUCUUUACCAGUGGUGAAUCGCCUCUUAAAUAGAAGAAUGGUAGUGGUGUUUAGGCAUAUUACACUUCUUCUUUGGAAGAAUUUUGCUUUAAAAAAAGCAUCUUAGGGGGAAGAGCUGAUUGGAGCAAAAGUGAACUACUGGGACCUUAUCAAGAUAAAAAGUUUCUGCACAGCAAAGGAAACAAGCAACAAAACCAAAAGCCAGCCUACAGAAUGGGAGAUGAUACUUGAAAAUGGCAUAUCUGAUAAAGGCCCCCUAAAGCAUGAGCUCCAAGGGACGGUCCAUUACCACAUACCUAGCAAGGACUUUACCUGAGGAAAGGUGAGUGUGGUACCAGGCCCUCCUAAAGCCACAGGAGGUGUUUUGACCUUAGAGUUGGUGGAUGAUAUGAAGCAUUCAAAUUCAGGCAUCUGAGAUAUUUCAGACAAACCUGGCUCCAUCAGAGACCAUUUCUAUUUUUCCCUUUCUUGGGUACUGUGUAAAGCCGAUACAGUUUCUUUCCAGCUCUUACCAUAGUAGUUUUAUAGAACAUGGCUUAAGACUAAAUUAUUUUGGCUUCUUAGGAGUUACUUGUAAUUUGAGGGCAUAGAUAGAUGAGUUCUGUUUCAGCAGGUGUGAGGUUUAUAAAUUCACAGUAUCCUGGGAAGCUGACAUUAACAGGGGUAGACGGGCAAAACAUUUCUUCUCUAACUGGGAUUUAUUAGCUUCACAGGAAGUCUCCAGGUCCAUGCAAGGUGGGAGUAAACAGAGCCUUUUCCCCCUUCU